rnacentral:rRNA from 1 species
ACACGACUCUCGGCAACGGAUAUCUCGGCUCUCGCAUCGAUGAAGAACGUAGCGAAAUGCGAUACCUGGUGUGAAUUGCAGAAUCCCGCGAACCAUCGAGUCUUUGAACGCAAGUUGCGCCCGAGGCCCUCGGGCCGAGGGCACGCCUGCCUGGGCGUCACGCCAAAAGA